UUGUCUAGAAACGUGUAUUCCUUGUUGUACUGUGGUAGUAGUUAUUUUUCUAACUUCCUUGGCAUUUCUCGACAGAGGGGCUGCGUACAUACAAAUUGAAUUCAGGAUGGAUAUGAUGGGGAAGGCUAUGUUCUCUCACCAAGUUGGUAAAUUCAAAGAAGACCUUGGAUUGAAAGGAGACGAGGAGGAGAAGACGAGUAACUAUGAUCCUCGGAAAGAAGCAGAGGAAGAAGAACAGCUAGCAGAACAAAGACAACGUCGAAAGGAAGCACAGGGUAAGAAGCAAGCAGAGAGGGCAGUAAACCGGAACAAAAUCAGAGAAAAAUAUGGACUGAAGCAGAACAAGCACGACCAGCAACUAGUGACGAACCAUGGAAAACCAACCCCUUCCGCGAAAGCACCCUCGAGAGACGAUUCUUCUUUAACAAGGAGCGGGUCUUCAUCAUCGUCACAGGAUAAGAAAGAUGACAAGUGUGCAGUCAUGUGAUCUUUUCUCAAAGCCUUAAAUACAUCAGGUGACCAUUUCAGGAUGUGUGUUGAAUGAGUUUCUGGGAGUAAUAUACAGUACAUGUAGUAGCUUCGUCCUAAGAUCAUGAUGCAUAUUCUGUAUAUGUUGAGAUGGAGAAUGGCUUCAUGGCUUUGGUUGCUUCUAUCAGCCUGGGACAAACAUGAUAAAAACCAUGAGAUGCUUGCCACAGUGAUUGAUCUUCCUUGGAGAUGGGUAACUUCUAUUAUCGGUAACUUCUAUUAUGAUUGUGCAAAGUAAAUGGCAAGGUACAAAUGAAGAUACGCUAUUGAAAUUCACUGUGGGCAUGCAGUUGUCAUUCCAAUGAUAAAGUUAUGUAUUUGAAUGAGCAUAAUGAAUUUUGUUUACCUCUACAAGAUUGUUUUUCAUACGUUCACCUAUGUUCUCAUUUUUGUGGCUUACUAUAAGUAUAAAAUCUGAUGAAUUAUGGAAGUCAUGUUACGUCAUCAUGUUAAUUGUUAUGCCUUCAAGAAUGGAAAUUUUUACGUGAUUUUCAGUGGCCAUUUUCAUUUUAGAGGGUGUUCAAUUUCUUCUUACUUUUUGAAUGACUUUACCAUCAAACAUUUGCCUUGCCCCCCCGCUUCUCAUUUUUAAACGAAACUAUCUCGACUAUUGAAAAUGCUGAUUUGUCGAUAUAUGAUGCAGGAACAAAGUGAUUACUGGUAUACAAAGUGAAGAUUGCAGAGAUGUCAACAUUGUCAAUCUAAGUUUAUCAUUGCUGCACAAGGGUCUUCAUUGCUGCACAAGGGUCUUCCAGAGUUAUUCAUUGUAUUCUUGAUAUGGUGUCUAUUGUCUAAUACUCCAAUUAUCUGUUCUCGGCGAGAUUGUACUGGAUUCCCUCCACAGUUUGAGUGAAGACAUCUUUCAAGUAAUUAUCCAAAAUUAUUGAAUGCCUUCAGAAAUUUGUCUUUCACCAAUCACAUUUCUUGAUAUUUUAGUCUUCCAUCUAAGCGGUUGCCCUUCCAGUCCAGGUAGUGCCUUGCUUUUCAUGGACAUAUUUUUCUAUAAGCGCUGCAUAUGUACACUUUUAAUCAAUUUUCUCCUUUUCAUAUUCAGUUACAAAUGUAUAAAGGACAAAUUGUAGUAGACUUUAUUCUAUUUCGUCAAGAUAUUCCUGUUUUCAUUCAGUAGCGUACAACACCUGUUCUUCAUGGACAUUUUCUCUUCUUCUAGUACUACUAGUACACUUUUUAUCUAUUUUUGUCCUUUCAUAUUCAGUUACAUUAUAGAGGAGUGACUGUAGACUUUUGAUUCUAUUUUGUUAAGAUAUUCUUGCUUCCAUACACUGUAUGAACAGAACUGUAUGAACAGAGAAGUAAAGGUUUGAGAAGGGAUUGCGAUAAUAGCAGAACCUAUGAUACGAUUACUAAUUGAUAUGGGGAAAUUCACACUGGCAAUUCUCUGUAUCUUUAACCUAUCUUUGUUGUUGAAUGUUUGAAACAUGCAUCAAUUUCCAAGUUAACAUCCUGGAAAUUCAUCAACUUGUGCUGGUUUCUAUGAGGAUUUAGUUUCAUUUCCUGUUGGAUUUGUAUAUUUUAUCAAUUACUCUUGUUUCACUUUGAUUCAUUAUAUUCCAGAGAUCAUACAGGAAUUUUUUUCUUUUCUUUAACAAGUGCCUUUUUUAAUUGUUGAAAGAAACAGUAGCACGUCUACUGUUUAAUGUACAUACUGCAUAUUUUCAGGUUUUGCGUCUUCCAGGAAAUCCUAUUUGUGGUAUUGGUUUUGAUUUGCAAACUGUUGAAAAGAGAGAUUGCUUACCAUCAGAAAACACAAAUACAUGUACAUGUACAAACAUAAUGUACAGGGUAAAGUCCUACUUUUAGAUUAUACAGGUGUACAUCAAGUCUGUACUUCCAAUGCCAAAAAUCUGGUCACCCUAGAUUUAUUGGACUUCCUGGACUAAUUAGAUGUUAUAACAAAGUACAAUAUUCUUGUUUUAUGUACUCGGUUGGUAUUGAAUUGAAUUUUUUUUUCCUUUUUUCUUUUAAACUCUACUUCAGUUUAAUCAGCCUUGAUGAAAGAUAACAUUUCAUCAUGUAAUUUAUGAAACUAUUCAGGUAUUCCAGAUAAAGCCUUUGCAGGGUAAAAAAUCAACCAUUAUACAUUGUAGGUGUAUCACAUGUUAUGCAAAUUGUGUGACUAUGACUUUUGCCAAAUAUGUAGUUGUACAAUGCUGAGACAUUGAUUUUAAUCUACAAGUCUCUCUACUUUGUAUGUGCUGUUGAUAAGAGGAGAAUGUAAUCAAUGUACCGGUAGUGACUAUUGAGCUAAUGAGAUAGUGUGAUGAUCAGAGACGGUUAAAAUAAACCGAACUACUAAUGUAAAUCUACAUGCAACCUGUAUGCAAUUUGUGAUGCCUACUAAGGGAGGAUUUUCCCCCGAGUCGUUCAUAUCUUUCUAGAAUGCAGCUCGGAGGAUGCCAUUGUAUUGGAUAUGUACAUGUGAACAGUGCACAUAAAGUAUGGUACAUGUGUCUACUGGGAGAUUAUGUACAUACAAGCAUAAAAAAGCAGUAAUAUAUGUACAUCUAUGUAUUAAAGAUGUAAAAUUGUAAAUGUUAUUGUUAUCUGAGUUUAUGUAAUAUACUUUUGAUCAUGCAAUUGGGCCAAACAACUUGUCCGGCAUAUAAGGUGUAAAUAUGAUGAGUGUUUGGAUGCAAAAAUAAUCUGCUAUGCAUAGGUGUACCAGCAAUAAAACAUGAUGCAUCUUUUGGAUAUGGGCUUUGUCAUUUUAGGUACAGUAUGCAACUUCACUCUUCAUUGUAUAUGUACAUCUGAAAGCUUAUUUUAUUGAUUUUGCUGUGAUAUCAUCUGUUUGGGCCCAGAAGAGCGUUAACUCGUAUUCUUCAACACAGAGUUAAUGCCCUUCUGGCUCCAGACAGAUAAUAUUAUUAUGUCCUUUUUUUAUUUGUAAGGGAUUUGAGGGUCAUGAUUUUGCAUGUUAGUGAAUUUUCAUGUUCUUUGCCAAAAAAUGUACAUUUAUACAAUUCUUUAAAUAAUGAAGGUGAAAUGAAGUUUAAUAUAUUGCGUUAACUAUCAUACAUGUAUAUUCUUCACUGUGAGUGAACUCUAUAUAAUUAUGUACCAUCUUAAGUUUAAGUGCUUAUAGGUUGUCCAUGAGGGGCCUUAUGUCAUAAAUGAAUUAAUGUGCCUUUUUUCAGCUUUGGGAAUUUGAAAUGGAUAGCCCCAUCGCUCUGAUUAUUUAAAUGAAGAAACUAGAAUACGUUAUACCCAAGUCAUACCAAAGAGACCAACUCCAGACUUUUCCAGACUGAACAAAAGAUACAUUACACUGAAUGGUAAAAGAAUCAGUCGGUUUGGGAUCGGUGUUGAGUAGGGUUAGCAGUGUGACUGAGGUAUGAUCUGGCCAGAGAUAUGUUGUGAAUAAUUUCAAAUGUAUGCAGUGUUGACCAUUGUUAACCAAAUAUCGUCCCUAUUUUCACGAAGUGACGUUAGUGAGGAAAAUCGUAACGCAAAGUGAAUGCAAUUUUUUUUCACUACCGUCACUUCGUGAAAACAGCGACGAUAUGUGCCUUCGAUAAAGUGUGCCUUACCAGUCUUGAAAUUUAUACAGAAUUGCUUUAAAUAAUCAUUAAAUAAAAUAUAUUCCAAAAUAAAUAUAUCUUACACUUA